rnacentral:rRNA from 1 species
AUUGAACGCUAGCGGGAUGCUUUACACAUGCAAGUCGAACGGCAGCGCGGACUUCGGUCUGGCGGCGAGUGGCGAACGGGUGAGUAAUGUAUCGGAACGUGCCCAGCAGCGGGGGAUAACUACGCGAAAGCGUAGCUAAUACCGCAUACGCCCUACGGGGGAAAGCAGGGGAUCGUAAGACCUUGCACUAUUGGAGCGGCCGAUAUCGGAUUAGCUAGUUGGUGAGGUAACGGCUCACCAAGGCGACGAUCCGUAGCUGGUUUGAGAGGACGACCAGCCACACUGGGACUGAGACACGGCCCAGACUCCUACGGGAGGCAGCAGUGGGGAAUUUUGGACAAUGGGGGCAACCCUGAUCCAGCCAUCCCGCGUGUGCGAUGAAGGCCUUCGGGUUGUAAAGCACUUUUGGCAGGAAAGAAACGUCGCGGGCUAAUACCCCGUGGAACUGACGGUACCUGCAGAAUAAGCACCGGCUAACUACGUG